rnacentral:rRNA from 1 species
ACAUCUAAGUACCCCGAGGAAAAGAAAUCAACCGAGAUUCCCCCAGUAGCGGCGAGCGAACGGGGAGGAGCCCAGAGCCUGAAUCAGUGUGUGUGUUAGUGGAAGCGUCUGGAAAGGCGCGCGAUACAGGGUGACAGCCCCGUACACAAAAAUGCACAUGCUGUGAGCUCGAUGAGUAGGGCGGGACACGUGGUAUCCUGUCUGAAUAUGGGGGGACCAUCCUCCAAGGCUAAAUACUCCUGACUGACCGAUAGUGAACCAGUACCGUGAGGGAAAGGCGAAAAGAACCCCGGCGAGGGGAGUGAAAAAGAACCUGAAACCGUGUACGUACAAGCAGUGGGAGCACGCUUAGGCGUGUGACUGCGUACCUUUUGUAUAAUGGGUCAGCGACUUAUAUUCUGUAGCAAGGUUAACCGAAUAGGGGAGCCGAAGGGAAACCGAGUCUUAACUGGGCGUUAAGUUGCAGGGUAUAGACCCGAAACCCGGUGAUCUAGCCAUGGGCAGGUUGAAGGUUGGGUAACACUAACUGGAGGACCGAACCGACUAAUGUUGAAAAAUUAGCGGAUGACUUGUGGCUGGGGGUGAAAGGCCAAUCAAACCGGGAGAUAGCUGGUUCUCCCCGAAAGCUAUUUAGGUAGCGCCUCGUGAAUUCAUCUCCGGGGGUAGAGCACUGUUUCGGCAAGGGGGUCAUCCCGACUUACCAACCCGAUGCAAACUGCGAAUACCGGAGAAUGUUAUCACGGGAGACACACGGCGGGUGCUAACGUCCGUCGUGAAGAGGGAAACAACCCAGACCGCCAGCUAAGGUCCCAAAGUCAUGGUUAAGUGGGAAACGAUGUGGGAAGGCCCAGACAGCCAGGAUGUUGGCUUAGAAGCAGCCAUCAUUUAAAGAAAGCGUAAUAGCUCACUGGUCGAGUCGGCCUGCGCGGAAGAUGUAACGGGGCUAAACCAUGCAC